GUGGGGAAUUUUGGACAAUGGGCGAAAGCCUGAUCCAGCAAUGCCGCGUGCAGGAUGAAGGCCCUCGGGUUGUAAACUGCUUUUGUACGGAACGAAAAGCCUGGGGCUAAUAUCCCCGGGUCAUGACGGUACCGUAAGAAUAAGCACCGGCUAACUACGUGCCAGCAGCCGCGGUAAUACGUAGGGUGCAAGCGUUAAUCGGAAUUACUGGGCGUAAAGCGUGCGCAGGCGGUUUUGUAAGACAGUGGUGAAAUCCCCGGGCUCAACCUGGGAACUGCCAUUGUGACUGCAAGGCUAGAGUGCGGCAGAGGGGGAUGGAAUUCCGCGUGUAGCAGUGAAAUGCGUAGAUAUGCGGAGGAACACCGAUGGCGAAGGCAAUCCCCUGGGCCUGCACUGACGCUCAUGCACGAAAGCGUGGGGAGCAAACAGGAUUAGAAACCCGUGUAGUCC
rnacentral:rRNA from 1 species